rnacentral:ribozyme from 1 species
GAAUUUGCUUUAAAUUUUUUAUGGUGAUAUUUAGAAAUUAUUAAAUUGAUAGAAACAUGUUUUUUAAACAUUAAAAUGAAACCAAAUAGUAUUUGAAGGAGGAUUUUUAGAUGUUCAAAAAGGAUUAACAAGCUUACCACCAAUUUUACUACUGGGAGUAUACGGGUGAGUACACGAACUUCACAGGUUAACCCGUGGCCUGAGUGAGGAAGGCAAUGUCCUUGCUAGUCACUAUUUGUGGCGACAUCUCCAAAUUGCGUGAAACCCGUCAUACAGCUUCAAGUACCACUUCAAUUGAGAAAUCUUUUGAAGGAACAGAGGUAACUCCUCUUCCCAUAUGGUUCGAUGGCUUGAAGACACGGUGGCAAUGCGCAGCCAAGCUCCUAAGUAUUUUAAAUAUAAGGAGAAGGUUCAGAGAGCAGACGGAGAUGGGCGGUAAUUAUCGCCGCUUAAGGUGUGCUCCAGCCUCUUUCGAAAGAUUGAG